rnacentral:rRNA from 1 species
GACAAUUUUCUAUCUAUAAGUCUUGACCAAAUUACGUGCCAGCAGUCGCGGUAACACGUAGAAGACUAGUGUUAUUCAUCUUUAUUAGGUUUAAAGGGUACCUAGACGGGAAAUCAAGCCAUAAUAGGGACUAAUUUUCUGGAGUUUUAUGUGAGAAGGCGCGAAUUUCCGGAGGAAAGUUGAUAUUUUAUGAUACUGGAAGGACGGGUAACGGUGAAGACAACCUUCUAUGUAAAAACUGACGUUGAGGGACGAAGCCUUGGGUAACGAUAAGGAUUAGAUACCCUAGUAGUCCUUGGAGAAAAUUAUGAAUGCCAUAGGUUAGCUUAACUGCAAAAUACAUUAUAUUUGUAACUAUAUCAGCAAUAAGCUUAAUUUGUUGUUGGACAUUCUUUUAGAUGAGCAAUAACCAUAAUUUGUUGUUAGUCAUACUUUUAGGUCAGCAACAAACGCUAAUGUUGGCCAUACUAUUAAGCUUUUGUUUAAAACGUACUUUAAACCUAGUAGAUUAAUAGUAGUAGUAGUAGUCUUAGUAGCAGUAAUAUGGCCUAUAAAUGAAAGUGCAAGCAUUCCACCUCAUGAGUAAAGCGGCAACGCCCAAAUUGAAAUCAUUAGACCGUUUCUGAAACCAGUAGUGAAGUAUGUUAUUUAAUUCGAUGAUCCGCGAAUAACCUUACCACAUUAUGCAUUGAAUAUUAUUCAAUUAUUACAAGCGCUGCACGGCUGUCUUCAG